rnacentral:rRNA from 1 species
GGCCAUGGCGGCAGCUACACAUGCAGUCGAGCGGUAGCACAGAGAGCUUGCUCUCGGGUGACGAGCGGCGGACGGGUGAGUAAUGUCUGGGAAACUGCCUGAUGGAGGGGGAUAACUACUGGAAACGGUAGCUAAUACCGCAUAACGUCGCAAGACCAAAGAGGGGGACCUUCGGGCCUCUUGCCAUCAGAUGUGCCCAGAUGGGAUUAGCUAGUAGGUGGGGUAACGGCUCACCUAGGCGACGAUCCCUAGCUGGUCUGAGAGGAUGACCAGCCACACUGGAACUGAGACACGGUCCAGACUCCUACGGGAGGCAGCAGUGGGGAAUAUUGCACAAUGGGCGCAAGCCUGAUGCAGCCAUGCCGCGUGUAUGAAGAAGGCCUUCGGGUUGUAAAGUACUUUCAGCGAGGAGGAAGGCAUUGUGGUUAAUAACCACAGUGAUUGACGUUACUCGCAGAAGAAGCACCGGCUAACUCUGUGCAGCAGCCGCAAA